CAAAUUCAGUUAUACGAAACGAAAUGUGUGUAAUUGGAGAAAAAAAAAUAUUUAAUGUUUAAAAAGUGGAACUGAUAAUAAUAUAAUAUAAAGUAGUUAAAUUCUUGGAAAACUACAGAUAGUGCAAGUGCGUCUGGCAGUAAACUUUGAUAAUGCGUUUCUUCAAGCAGUUCGUUUCAUGGGGUCUGGUGCUUCUGGGUCUGAUCUCCGCGCUCCCGGCAGCCCAGGGAGACUCCGGUCGCAGGGGCUUCCCGCCUACCUCUCCGCCCAUCAACCCGAACUCGGACCUGCCCGAUCCUAAUGUUGGCGGCUGACCAGGGGCGGCAAAAGAAUGAUAAAGAGAAAUAAAUAAUUAGAAAGAAA